UCGAUGAUGAAAAUGUAAUUGAUAUCUUGUAUCGAUACAAUUCUUAUAUAUCGUAUUAAAAUUUGUAAGGCAAAUGUUAAAUAAGGUCAGCAUCAUACGAUUUAAGAAGCAAUGACGUAUUUUCCCGUUAAAUGUGUAACUAUAGAAAAACACCUUGCUAUUCUUAUUCUUUCAAUUAUUUAUUCUUUUUGUUUGUAACGAUCAUGUAUAAUCUCUGACGAGAACACGGACGCACGCACCGACGCACGCACGCACUUACGAUAGGAGGAUGUGUUCUCCAUAUUAUGCGAAUAUCGUCAUCAAGAGCGUUGGUGUCUGGGUUGCUCUCGAUAUCUGCCUUCGGCGGGACGAAAAGAAACAACAAGGAGAGUGAAGAAGGUUAGCGGAUGUUAUCGUACAAACGGAUUAAUGAGGAUUAAGUUACUUGGUUCUGGUUUUGAUUGGACGAAGAAAUAAAAAAUGUUUUUGAGAUUCAUGGAAAGUUACUUCUUGAAAAAAGAUUACGGAAAAAAGAAGAAGGGAAAAAGAAACGAAAAAAAAAAAAAGAAAAAAGAAAGAAAGAAAUGAAGAUGAGAGAGAUCAACACCGAGGAUAUUUCAGAGUAAGAGAAAGAGAGAGAGAGAGAGAGAAAGAGAGAGAGAGAGAGUCCGUCUGACGUCAUUUGACGUAACAGUAAUAGUAGAUCGACGUAUCCUUCGUUGAGAUCGCUAUACGUCUUCACUAACACGCAUACAGGUGUUCUCGCAAUCUAAACGGUGACAGACGUUUCUGUACUCGUACAUAUAUCAAUUACAAUAUCAAAUUCCUUUAUGGACAGAACGUCUCGCUGAAUUAGUAUUUGUUAAAAGAAGGAAAGAGAAAAAAAAAAAAGAAAAAAAAAGAAGAAGAAAAAGAAAAGAAAAAAAUCGACGAUGAUAAUGACAAUGAUAAUUUAUUCUUUCGGAUAUCAUCGUCGUCAUGAAAAAGUUAAUAUAUAAUACGGACGCAAUUAGAUAACAUUAUAUUACAGAAUAAUCAGAAUAUAGAAAAUAUUAUUUAAUUACUGAUAAAAUUUAUAAUCCUCGGAUUCGAGUAAUUUCGUUGUAAUCGCGUAAAGAAAAAAAAAAAAAAACAAAAAAAAAAAAAAGAAAAAAAGAAAAAAAGGAAAAGAGAAAAACAUCUAAAUGAAGAUAUAAUGAUAAGACAAAGUAGAUAGGAAUGAUCUGUACCAAUAGUUGUGUGGAUGAAGGAAGGGGAUAAAAAUAAAACAAAACUAAAAAAAAAAGAAAAAAAAAAAAAGAAAAAAAAAACGCAAGACGAAACGAAAGGAGAAACAGAUAAAGAGAAAUACACAUCCCUCUCUUAUCUCCCACUCCCGUUCUUCCGUUGGAAAAGACACUGAAACGAAAAAAAAAUAAAAAAAGGAAAAAAGAAAAGAGACAAAAAGAAAAGGAAAAAGAUGAUCGCAAGAAAAAUAUCAAUCGUCGAUUUAAGAUGCUAAUUCGAGAAGCAAAAGUCAACGAACGAGAUCCCCGAGAUGGAGGUGGAUGCCAAGAACGAUGGCAGUUAGUAGUAGUAAACUCGUCUCAUCGUUGCUGGCAUAACAGGUUUCGGUGAAAUUCGAGAGAAUGCGUUCGCGUUCGCGAGGGAACUCUCCUCUCUCGAGUUGAGUCCCCGGCAAACACGCGCACUCUCGACGAAGGAAAUCCACCCGUGGACGACCUGGAAGCGAAUUACGUCAGACGACCUGGGGUCCAACGAACCCAGAUUCCGUACAUUUACUGCUGCUCUUUCCGGCAGAUCCAUGCGAGAGAAGAAGAAAGUAAUGGCCAGGUAAAGUUCAAGGGCCUGGAAAGUCCGGUUUGUUGUUCCAAAUUCCAACUGGACCUACUACUACUACUCGAGGAAUUAAAGAUGUAAUCUUUUAGGGUAAGGUACGAUUUAUUUACGUUGA